AACAUGUAUUUUUGGAUUUUCUCGAAAUCCGUGCGUUGAACUCAAAAUUCGUCAGCGCCAGUAGUUCCAGAACAGCUGAACCAGUCGAAACGAGCUAUUGGACUGCUAUGAACAGAGUCCGGUACGAGCCAGAAGCCAACUUCUCACCGCGGCUUCUCCGGAAAAUCGAGUUACUAUUCACUUUAAGUGAAACUUGGAAAUCGCGUAGAACUUCCGUUUUAACUCGUUUUCGCCCGAAACUUGACGAGUGCUUUUGUAAUUAAAUUACACACAAAAACAUCGUCAACUGAGAGUUUAGCUACACU
rnacentral:lncRNA from 1 species